AGCAAAGAGCCUUGUAUGUAUGUAGUAGAUGCUUAUUUAAUGCUUGUUGAAUAAUUGAAAGGCCAAUCAGGGAAGUAAGAAGGAAUUUGGAAAGAUUCUUGAUAACCUGGUUGUAGCUUCCAGCAGUCUCUAGAGAACUCUAGAACUUUUUUAUUCAAGUCACCUCAUGAAGUGACCUAGUUGUGGUCAGUUAGCAGAGUAUCCUUAACAAGAGUCCUUCUUGGACUAUUUGGCCAUCCUUUUCUACCCUCUGGAAUUAAGACCACAAGUUAUAAAGCAAAACCCAUAAGAGCAUGUGAAUACUUACAUUUUUGUUCUGUGUAACACGCUUAAUUUAUUUCUGGAUGGCAACAGGGGGAAGCGAGUAGCGUUAUCUGAUGAUGAGACAAAGGAAACUGAAAACAUGAAGAAAAAGAGGAGAAGAAUCAAACUUCCUGAAUCUGAUAGCAGUGAAGAUGAAGUCUUCCCAGACUCUCCUGGGGCUUAUGAAGCUGAGUCACCAUCCCCACCUCCUCCUCCGUCUCCACCUCUUGAACCAGUGCCAAAGACUGAGCCUGAACCUCCUUCUGCCAAGAGCUCAAGUGGAGAAAACAAAAGAAAACGAAAACGCGUGCUAAAAUCUAAAACUUAUGUGGAUGGGGAAGGCUGCAUAGUGACUGAAAAAGUCUACGAGAGUGAAUCCUGCACAGAUAGUGAAGAGGAGCUUAAGAUGAAGACAUCCUCAGUACACAGACCCCCUGCCAUGACUGUGAAAAAAGAACCCAAAGAGGAACGAAAGGGCCCCAAGAAAGGGACUGCUGCUCUGGGCAAAGCCAACAGACAGGUGUCCAUUACUGGCUUCUUCCAGAGGAAAUAAACUGCCAUCUCUGGUAGAUCAGAGACUUGGAGUGGUCAAGGGAGAAGACCAAGAAAUGUACUCCUCACUUACUAUGUAAGUUCAUCUAGAUCUCCACCUCACCUGUAUCAAAAGACUGUUCUUUCAUCCUGUGAGGUUUAUACUAUUUCUGGUUUUUAACCAAAAGGAAAUCAUCUGGAAGCAGGAGGCAAAAAGCUGU
rnacentral:sRNA from 1 species